rnacentral:rRNA from 1 species
UACCAGCACCCCGAGUGGUCGGGACGUUUAUUGGGCCUAAAGCAUCCGUAGCCGGUUCUACAAGUCUUCCGUUAAAUCCACCUGCUUAACAGAUGGGCUGCGGAAGAUACUAUAGAGCUAGGAGGCGGGAGAGGCAAGCGGUACUCGAUGGGUAGGGGUAAAAUCCGUAGAUAUGAGAUGGAACACCAGAGGCGAAGGCGCCUUCCUGGACGACUAUUGACGCUGAGGCGCGAAAGCGUGGGGAGCAAACAGG